UUACCUGUUUCGGGUAGGCAGUGUAGUUUAGCUGGCUGCUUGCUAUUAAAUCCAGCAGUCGCUAAUACUCUGCCACUGGCAACAGGGAAA
rnacentral:pre_miRNA from 1 species